UUGUGCUGGACGAGGCAGAUAGAA
rnacentral:sRNA from 1 species